UACAGAGGCCCCAAGCGUUACUGAGAAUCACUGGGUUUAAAGGGUGCGUAGGUGGCGCGUUUAAGUCCGUUGUGAAAUCCCUGGGCCUCAACCCAGGAAUUGCUUCGGAUACUGGCGUGCUUGAGGCCGGUAGGGGUCACUGGAACUGACGGUGGAGCGGUGAAAUGCGUAGAUAUCGUCAGGAACGCCGAUGGUGAAGACAGGUGACUGGGCCGGAACUGACACGUGAGGCACGGAAAAGCGUGGGGA
rnacentral:rRNA from 1 species